rnacentral:misc_RNA from 1 species
UUUCCGUAGGUGAACCUGCGGAAGGAUCAUUCAUAAUAAGUGUUUUACUGCACUUUUUAAAAAUAGUACUCACCUGGUGUGCAAUGUUGUGUUUCUUUUCGGAGGAACACCUACACCAACCUAUAACCUUGAACCACUUUGUCUGAAAAACUAUUAUGAAUACUUAAUUCAAAAUACAACUUUCAACAACGGAUCUCUUGGCUCUC